UUGCCCGACGGACGGUCGGCUUUCGACUCGACGAACACGCCCGACUCACAACCGAGCAACGGACGUCCGACUUAAAGCCUUCGAUCGUCGGAUUACACGACAGUCGGGAGGCUGGUCCAAAGUCGGGAUUUGCCCUACCUUCGUGGCAGCAUGCAUUGCCGAACAUCCUAAUUAAUCUAUCGGGCUAGCGACUUAUGUGAUCAAAAGCAUUCCACGACACAUGAAAGAAGAAGAGACAUACAAAGGAAAAAAAGUUCAAGUCCACAAGACUGUGACUUUGAUUUCAUUGAAGUUCAGGUCAAG
rnacentral:lncRNA from 1 species